rnacentral:tRNA from 1 species
GCAAACGUAGCUUAAAUAAAAGCAUGACACUGAAGAUGUUAAGAUGAGCCCUAGAAAGCUCCGUAAGCA